rnacentral:lncRNA from 10 species
ACAAUGCGUUGGAGUUGGAGAGUCAUGCUCAGGUACUGGAUAUAAAUUGAAGAUGCAAUGGAUUAAGACUCUUGACUAGAAUAAUCUGAAGCAUUCUGCGUGAAUUUGUGACCAAAGAAACCAAAAAUCAGGCUACCUUUGACAAUGUCAAAUUACAGUGAACUGUGGAGUCGAUUAUACCUCUCAUAUUUCUUUAUUAUGUUAAAUGCUUAAUUAUUUGCUUGAUUCUGUCUUUGUCAUAGUCCUUUAUUACAAUGACGUCUUAUUUAAGUAAAAGAAUUCCAAAUACAUAGAAAACAAAAGCAUUUGUUUUAUUUCAAAAUAAUGAAGAAACAUAAUAGGUUAUACAACUUUUCAAGAGACCAUUAUGCUGUUAAAUCAUUUAUAUAUCUUCUCUUUAUUUGGACUCAGAAAAUAUGGACAUUAUAAUGCAAAAAGUUACUGAAAAAUCAAUGUCAGCAUCAUCUGAACUCUUUUCCCCUAAUCUAAUCUAGGCAUUUGGAUUACCCAUUUCUAAGCACAUCAGUGGUUUUUGAAUGUCAGUAGCACCCUGCUUAAUCAAUAAGCCUUUAUUUGGCUCAAUGAACUGCUGAUACGUACUUUUACAUAUUCAAAAUCUGUCCCUCAGUAUGGAUACUAACUAGAUCUUUUUUGAAUGAGAAGGUCAGGUCAGGCUCCCCCUUGGCAAUGAUACCAGCUCCCUCAGAUUCUCAUUAAUGGAACCAUGUGCUCACUGAACAAAGAAUGCUUACAGAAAAAAAAAAGAAUAUUGACGUCAGUGUAUAUUAUAUUCCUUAAAAAUAUUUAUAAACGAGCAUUCGUUAUAGAAGCAAGGAACAUGACAGCUUAUUGAUUAUGCAAAUAUGUUCCUUGUACGCUUUUAAAAUAAAUCAAUUAGUGCAAGAGUUGGCAAAGUCUUCCUUAAAGGGCAAGAUUAUUAAAAUAUUAGGCUUUGCUGGCCAUUUGGUCUGUCACAACUAAUUAACUCUGCUGUCGUAAUGGGAAAACAGCCACAGACAAUAUGUGAAAUAAUGGAUGUGGCUGUAUUUCAAUAAAACUUUGUUUAGAGAAACAGGUGGUGGGACAGUGUGUUGAUCCCUGAACUAAUGGGAUAAAAUAUAACUUAAAUAUAAUAUGCAUGUAUGUACAUAUGUUUCUGUUUACAAAAUAGAAUUGAGUGUCUCUUUCAGCUAAUUGAGCACCAUAAUGUAAACCUACAAGAGGUACGAGAGAAUUUCGUAUAUGUAUUUGAAGUCUUGACACUGCUAAAUCUUUUGUUUGUAAUUGGCAUGCCAUGUUGGAAGACAUAAUAGAGAAACUGUCUAUCCAUGCGUCCUUUACUUAAGAAAACUAAACUCUUCUCUGAAGUUAUGUGGUAUAGAUUUUUCCUAAAGGAAGCCAACCAGUUGAAAGAUCAAGCUAUGCAUUAACUCAUCACACUUUAAAUAAGUAAAUAAAUAAAUAACUCACCUAGUUCAUUGUUUGGAUGGUUUAUUGGAUGUGAGAUACUUCAUACUGUCCUGACACAGAGUUUAUUACCUAUGUAAGAGAAGGCACAUAUGGUUAGGUUUCAAGAGAUAUUCUAAUUGUUUCCUGUGGUGAUGUUUGAACUCUACAGUCAAAUUCAGAUGCAUUUAAUUUGGUAAGGUAGACAAUUGGUUAAAUGUUUGGUGUCAAAGUAAGAAAUACAUAGUGAAUUGAUGGAGAGGAAUGUUCUUAAAGUGGUCUAUACAGAUUGACCCUAAAAUCAACCUCACCUUUAUAUCAACCUCGUCUUUGAAAAGAUUGCAGCCCCAAGGACUUUGAUUAUUUUUCUUCAUGACCUCUCUGGGUACCUGAUAAUAGGAAUAGACACACGAAAAAAAACCUGAUAAUGUUACUCUGGUGUAAUCACAACUACUUCUGCUCUAUUAAAACUACCAUGCGAUAUGACCACUUUUACAGUCAUUUGUUAACUUUCUCUUUUAUCAUCAAAGUUGUACUGCACAUACUCAAAACUGACAGCUACAAUAGAGUGGCCCAUAUAUUCUCUGAGAUCAAGACAGAAACAUUACUCAUCAAAUUCUAAUCUAGUGUCACAUAGGAGAAAUACAACUAGCCAGUGAGACUCUCACUGCUAUCUGGCUCACAGAAACAGAUAGAGCAACUUCUCAUCUAUUAUUGAAGCAUUGCAGAAAUUGUGGUGCAGUGUAUGUGCCUACACUAUAAAGUAGCUAGGCUUGCACUUUUUAUGUGUGUUUGGCCAUAUAAUUCAUCUGGGCCUAGUAUCAACUCAGGACAUGGAUAUACUUUUUAAAGUAAUUGAGUAAUGUAUAUCUUUAAAAGCAAUCUCGUUAGAGCUUUAGGACAUUUCUAACAAAGCAAUGAAAUGUAGAGAUCUUAAUACAUUUCUAUGACUAUGAAUGUAAAUAAUAUAUGUUAUUUAAUAUUUUUCACAUGAAAAGAAAAUACUAACCCAGAAUGAAAAUGUAUCAAUAAUCCUGAGUAAAUUAAUCUAACAACAAUGAAUGUUUUGUGGUGCAUAUUUGGCAAAGCCUUCAAAUUUGUCAGACCUUUACAAAUCAUUUUCUUAUGUAGAGUCAUUGCUGUGUUUUGUAAUAAAUUUUGAAAACUGGCUUUAUGGAAUAAAAU